AGUGAACGCUGGCGGUAGGCCUAACACAUGCAAGUCGAACGGCAGCACAGUAAGAGCUUGCUCUUACGGGUGGCGAGUGGCGGACGGGUGAGGAAUACAUCGGAAUCUACUUUUUCGUGGGGGAUAACGUAGGGAAACUUACGCUAAUACCGCAUACGACCUACGGGUGAAAGCAGGGGAUCUUCGGACCUUGCGCGAUUGAAUGAGCCGAUGUCGGAUUAGCUAGUUGGCGGGGUAAAGGCCCACCAAGGCGACGAUCCGUAGCUGGUCUGAGAGGAUGAUCAGCCACACUGGAACUGAGACACGGUCCAGACUCCUACGGGAGGCAGCAGUGGGGAAUAUUGGACGAUGGGCGCAAGCCUUAUCCAGCCAUACCGCGUGGGUGAAGAAGGCCUUCGGGUUGUAAAGCCCUUUUGUUGGGAAAGAAAAGCAGCAGGUUAAUACCCCGCUGUUCUGACGGUACCCAAAGAAUAAGCACCGGCUAACUUCGUG
rnacentral:rRNA from 1 species